rnacentral:rRNA from 1 species
UAGGGAAUCUUCCACAAUGGGCGAAAGCCUGAUGGAGCAACGCCGCGUGUGUGAUGAAGGCUUUCGGGUCGUAAAGCUCUGUUGUUAAAGAAGAACACGUAUGAGAGUAACUGUUCAUACGUUGACGGUAUUUAACCAGAAAGUCACGGCUAACUACGUGCCAG